GGCAGGAUACUCUAAUCGUGGUGAGGGGUGUUUGACUCCCAGGUUCUGGGUUCAAUCCCCAUUUCUGCCU